ACCGCGAAAAACCUUACCCACCUUUGACAUGUACGGAAGUUACCAGAGAUGGUUUCGUGCUCGAAAGAGAACCGUAACACAGGUGCUGCAUGGCUGUCGUCAGCUCCUGUCGUGAGAUGUUGGGUUAAGUCCCGCAACGAGCGCAACCCUUGUCAUUAGUUGCUACGAAAGGGCACUCUAAUGAGACUGCCGGUGACAAACCGGAGGAAGGUGGGGAUGACGUCAAGUCCUCAUGGCCCUUAUAGGUGGGGCUACACACGUCAUACAAUGGCUGGUACAGAGGGUUGCCAACCCGCGAGGGGGAGCUAAUCCCAUAAAACCAGUCGUAGUCCGGAUCGCAGUCUGCAACUCGACUGCGUGAAGUCGGAAUCGCUAGUAAUCGCGGAUCAGAAUGUCGCGGUGAAUACGUUCCCGGGUCUUGUACACACCGCCCGUCACA
rnacentral:rRNA from 1 species